rnacentral:rRNA from 1 species
AUGAACGCUGGCGGCGUGCCUCAUACAUGCACGUCGAGCGAACAGACGAGGAGCUUGCUCCUCUGACGUUAGCGGCGGACGGGUGAGUAACACGUGGAUAACCUACCUAUAAGACUGGGAUAACUUCGGGAAACCGGAGCUAAUACCGGAUAAUAUAUUGAACCGCAUGGUUCAAUAGUGAAAGACGGUUUUGCUGUCACUUAUAGAUGGAUCCGCGCCGCAUUAGCUAGUUGGUAAGGUAACGGCUUACCAAGGCAACGAUGCGUAGCCGACCUGAGAGGGUGAUCGGCCACACUGGAACUGAGACACGGUCCAGACUCCUACGGGAGGCAGCAGUAGGGAAUCUUCCGCAAUGGGCGAAAGCCUGACGGAGCAAUGCCGCGUGAGUGAUGAAGGUCUUCGGAUCGUAAAACUCUGUUAUUAGGGAAGAACAAAUGUGUAAGUAACUAUGCACGUCUUGACGGUACCUAAUCAGAAAGCCACGGCUAACUACGUG